UAAACGUCGCGUUGUGGCUCCAAUCGCCACUAAAAUAGCUGCGAAACGCCGCUCGCAGUGCAUUUGCCAUCAAUUCAUAGCCCCAGUCAUACUUGAACAAGAUAAUUUGUUGUAUUACUCUUCGGCACGCAAAAUUAAUAUCCGUGACAAUAACACGCUUGCGAUUUAUACGCACGUCCGCAUUGCGUGCAUGCGUUUGUGGCUGUCCAGAGAGUAUCGUACUUAUCUUGUUCUUGUUCAUUUUAGGGGCUGAUUUCAUUGGAGGAUGAAACUAACACAAGCCAGCAGAUUUGCACUGCGCCUCACAGUUGCACAGAAUGUGCCGACAGCCUCGCGCCACUCGGACAAGUUUGUCUUCCCGACUGCCUUUGUCCUGGCUGGUAUCGGUGUUGGCGUGUCGUCCUUCAGCUUGAAGCAGUUGUUGUCGCGGCCGAGGACUCGUUAAGUCACACAGGAGGAUGUUUCAUCGCUAAUACAUUGGCUAUGGCUAUAGCAUAGCUCCUUAAAUGCCACAAUCUUGUUUACACGAUUUUUAUUAGCAUAUUAUACAUUGUUUAUUACUGCGCUAUGGAGUAGUAGUGUUUCAUUGUAUGUUGGACUGUAGAUGCAUUUUGUAAAGUUUCCGAGAAUGGAGACAUACAAGAUGCGGCGAUUCAAACGGUAUAUAUGUAAAUUUAUCUUUACAUGUACGCUCAACAAAGGGAAAUUUAACCAAUUGGAGAUUGUAGGUGCAGGUGUUUAAGUAGCGUAAGUGCUGUAGGUAGUAAAUUAUAUUAGCGAAAUUAUAUAUUUACAUGAAACAA